rnacentral:rRNA from 1 species
ACAGAGAGCUUGCUCUCGGGUGACGAGCGGCGGACGGGUGAGUAAUGUCUGGGAAACUGCCUGAUGGAGGGGGAUAACUACUGGAAACGGUAGCUAAUACCGCAUAACGUCGCAAGACCAAAGUGGGGGACCUUCGGGCCUCAUGCCAUCAGAUGUGCCCAGAUGGGAUUAGCUAGUAGGUGGGGUAACGGCUCACCUAGGCGACGAUCCCUAGCUGGUCUGAGAGGAUGACCAGCCACACUGGAACUGAGACACGGUCCAGACUCCUACGGGAGGCAGCAGUGGGGAAUAUUGCACAAUGGGCGCAAGCCUGAUGCAGCCAUGCCGCGUGUGUGAAGAAGGCCUUCGGGUUGUAAAGCACUUUCAGCGGGGAGGAAGGCGGUAAGGUUAAUAACCUUGGCGAUUGACGUUACCCGCAGAAGAAGCACCGGCUAACUCCGUGCCAGCAGCCGCGGUAAUACGGAGGGUGCAAGCGUUAAUCGGAAUUACUGGGCGUAAAGCGCACGCAGGCGGUCUGUCAAGUCGGAUGUGAAAUCCCCGGGCUCAACCUGGGAACUGCAUUCGAAACUGGCAGGCUAGAGUCUUGUAGAGGGGGGUAGAAUUCCAGGUGUAGCGGUGAAAUGCGUAGAGAUCUGGAGGAAUACCGGUGGCGAAGGCGGCCCCCUGGACAAAGACUGACGCUCAGGUGCGAAAGCGUGGGGAGCAAACAGGAUUAGAUACCCUGGUAGUCCACGCCGUAAACGAUGUCGAUUUGGAGGUUGUGCCCUUGAGGCGUGGCUUCCGGAGCUAACGCGUUAAAUCGACCGCCUGGGGAGUACGGCCGCAAGGUUAAAACUCAAAUGAAUUGACGGGGGCCCGCACAAGCGGUGGAGCAUGUGGUUUAAUUCGAUGCAACGCGAAGAACCUUACCUGGUCUUGACAUCCACAGAACUUUCCAGAGAUGGAUUGGUGCCUUCGGGAACUGUGAGACAGGUGCUGCAUGGCUGUCGUCAGCUCGUGUUGUGAAAUGUUGGGUUAAGUCCCGCAACGAGCGCAACCCUUAUCCUUUGUUGCCAGCGGUUCGGCCGGGAACUCAAAGGAGACUGCCAGUGAUAAACUGGAGGAAGGUGGGGAUGACGUCAAGUCAUCAUGGCCCUUACGACCAGGGCUACACACGUGCUACAAUGGCAUAUACAAAGAGAAGCGACCUCGCGAGAGCAAGCGGACCUCAUAAAGUAUGUCGUAGUCCGGAUUGGAGUCUGCAACUCGACUCCAUGAAGUCGGAAUCGCUAGUAAUCGUAGAUCAGAAUGCUACGGUGAAUACGUUCCCGGGCCUUGUACACACCGCCCGUCACACCAUGGGAGUGGGUUGCAAAAGAAGUAGGUA